UACCUCAUCUCUGUACCCAACACAUACAAUUAUCUGUAAGGUCCCUCAUCUCUGUACCCCACACAUACAGUUAUCUGUAAGGUCCCUCAUCUCUGUACCCCACACAUACAAUUAUCUGUAAGGUCCCUCAUCUCUGUACCCCCACACAUACAAUUAUCUGUAAGGUCCCUCAUCUCUGUACCCCCACACAUACAAUUAUCUGUAAGGUCCCUCAUCUCUGUACCCCCACACAUACAAUUAUCUGUAAGGUCCCUCAUCUCUGUACCCCCACACAUACAAUUAUCUGUAAGGUCCCUCAUCUCUGUACCCCACACAUACAAUUAUCUGUAAGGUCCCUCAUCUCUGUACCCCACACAUACAAUUAUCUGUAAGGUCCCUCAUCUCUGUACCCCACACAUACAAUUAUCUGUAAGGUCCCUCAUCUCUGUACCCCACACAUACAAUUAUCUGUAAGGUCCCUCAUCUCUGUACCCCACACAUACAAUUAUCUGUAAGGUCCCUCAUCUCUGUACCCCACACAUACAAUUAUCUGUAAGGUCCCUCAUCUCUGUACCCCACACAUACAAUUAUCUGUAAGGUCCCUCAUCUCUGUACCCCACACAUACAAUUAUCUGUAAGGUCCCUCAUCUCUGUACCCCACA